AUUGAACGCUGGCGGCACGCUUUACACAUGCAAGUCGAACGGCAGCGCGGGCUUCGGCCUGGCGGCGAGUGGCGAACGGGUGAGUAAUACAUCGGAACGUGCCCAGUAGUGGGGGAUAGCUCGGCUAAAGCCGGAUUAAUACCGCAUACGACCUGAGGGUGAAAGCGGGGGAUCUUCGGACCUCGCGCUAUUGGAGCGGCCGAUGGCAGAUUAGCUAGUUGGUGGGGUAAAGGCCUACCAAGGCGACGAUCUGUAGCUGGUCUGAGAGGACGACCAGCCACACUGGGACUGAGACACGGCCCAGACUCCUACGGGAGGCAGCAGUGGGGAAUUUUGGACAAUGGGCGAAAGCCUGAUCCAGCAAUGCCGCGUGUGUGAUGAAGGCCUUCGGGUUGUAAAGCACUUUUGGCGGGAACGAAAAGGACUGUGCCAAUACCACGGUUCGAUGACGGUACCCGCAGAAUAAGCACCGGCUAACUACGUG
rnacentral:rRNA from 1 species